AGUGAACGCUGGCGGUAGGCCUAACACAUGCCAGUCGAACGGCAGCACAGUAAGAGCUUGCUCUUACGGGUGGCGAGUGGCGGACGGGUGAGGAAUACAUCGGAAUCUACUUUUUCGUGGGGGAUAACGUAGGGAAACUUACGCUAAUACCGCACACGACCUACGGGUGAAAGCAGGGGAUCUUCGGACCUUGCGCGAUUGAAUGAGCCGAUGUCGGAUUAGCUAGUUGGCGGGGUAAAGGCCCACCAAGGCGACGAUCCGUAGCUGGUCUGAGAGGAUGAUCAGCCACACUGGAACUGAGACACGGUCCAGACUCCUACGGGAGGCAGCAGUGGGGAAUAUUGGCCAAUGGGCGCAAGCCUGAUCCAGCCAUACCGCGUGGGUGAAGAAGGCCUUCGGGUUGUAAAGCCCUUUUGUUGGGAAAGAAAAGCAGCAGGUUAAUACCCCGCUGUUCUGACGGUACCCAAAGAAUAAGCACCGGCUAACUUCGUG
rnacentral:rRNA from 1 species